rnacentral:lncRNA from 1 species
UAGGCUCAAGCGAUCCUUCCACCUCAGCCUCCCGAGUAGCUGGAAUUACAAGCACGCACCAUCAUGCCCAGCUAAUUUUUUUAUUUUUUGUAGAGACGAGGUCUCACUAUGUUGCCUAGGCUGGUCUCAAACUCCUGGGUUCAAGCCAUCCUCCUAUCUUGGGAUUACAGGCAUGAGCCGCUGCAUCUGGCCUCUUUUUUAAUUUUUUAAACUUGGCUCUAAGCAGCUUGGCUUCAUCUCUUGGGAAAGGUAGGUAAAUGCUUGGAUUUGGGGUGUACAUUUUAUGCUUUUAAAAUAGAGCUGGUUUUUAUGAGCUUAGAUUUUUAAAAUAUUGAGCAGUUUUGAUACACCCGGCACUGCACUAAGUGGUUUUACAUGCAUUGUCUAUGUAAUACUCACAGCUUCUCUACUGCAGUAGCUGCUGGUACUCUUCUUUGUUUACAGAUGAAGAAAUUGAAACUUAGAGAGGUAACAAAUGGGCCUAGAUCACACAGAGCCACAAAUCCACUCCAGAGUGUCUGGCCCCAGAGCCCCUUUAUUCAUUCCAACCAUCCUGCAUACACUGUGUUUGGAAGUGGACGCACAUUCCCCUGACUGCCACUGCCCAAACUCACCCCGCCAAGACUCAGGACAGCAGGCUCCUGUGUCUAACCCAACACGGACAAACACCACCUCUUCCAUAUAAGGACACUUACACUGAGGGGAAUGUUUCGGCUUGUGUCUUCUGGAUCGAAGGCCUCAACCUGGUAAAUGAAUCCAGGGUUUGCUCUUUCUACUAUGUAGAGGUGUAGACCUAGACCAGUGUCCAAAGUGGAAUAAGAAACAUCUUAUUAAAGCAAAAAUGGGGAAUUCCAAAAUCAAGGCAGCUGUACACAACCAAGGGAACCAAGGGUGUUGGCAUCGUGGGACCAAGAAUGCAAUAAAAAAAUCCAUGAGCAAGACCACUGGCCAACUUUCCUGCAUGGAUCCAUUUAGGGUAAUUCAUAAAGUGCUAGGGUUGGCCAAGCUGGUACCAAGUCUUCAUUCAUGUCCUCUGUUGAGAGGUGCCCCAGGGUGAUGCUGUUUGAGGUGGGGGAAGAAGGAGGUGAUAGGGCAGAGAGUUGGGAAGUAAACCCAGGUAGGAACCUCCGGUGUGAGGAUCCCCAUGUGCUGAAUCCAUUUUAAUGUGCAAAUCUCUCCUCAACUGUGCUGUUACCCCUUGAAGGACACUUGGCAACUCCGCAGAAAUGAGCCGUUGAAAUGAGGGAUCUUACAGUGGAACAGAGAUAAAUAGAAUAAGUAGGGGAGGGCUACAGAGGCUCAAGGGAGGAACCAAAAACUGAUUUCAUCUGUUUCAGAGUUUUUCACAGUGAUGGGGGAGGAGGGAGGAGCAGGCGGUACCAGCACUGACCAAGGGGCCACAGAGCUCUCACUCGGGCAUUUUUUCCUUCCCAGUGAUGAUGGACAAUAUGAAAAGUAACUCACUCUAUUGGGGGGCACCGUGCUGAGGACUUAACAUACAUUUUCUAUUUUCAUCUUCAUAACAGUUCUAUUAAUAUAAAGCAGGUAUUGUAUUUAUUCUUUUAGCGUAAUUAGUGCUUUUCAAAUGAGAACACUGAGACUCAGGGAAGUUAUGAAGUUGUCCUAGCUAGUAAAUGAUAGAAUCGAAAUUAAAAUCCAGAUGCCUUACAUCUGAGCUUGAGCUUUCAUUCACUUUUUAUCACUCUCAUGCUUCGUUCAAAAAAAUAUCUACUGAGCGCUCUGUCCAAACAGUGAUCUACACACUGGGAAUACAGCAGCUCACAAAACAGAACCUUACUCUCAUGCAACUUCCGUUUCCAUGGGAAGAUAUGGAUAGCAAAAUAAUUGAGGAAAAUGUGUGUAUAUUAGUGAGAAACAUUAUGAGAAAAAUUGGGGAAGGAAGUGUGAGUUGGGUUACAAUUUUAAUAAAGUGGCUAUGGAAGGUUAACUGUAGCGGGGAAGGACAUGACACUUGUCAAGAUUUUUUUUUUUUUUUUUUUUUGAGAUAGGGUCUUGCUUUGUAACCCAGGUUGGAGUGCAGUGGCACAAACAUAGCUCACUGCAGCCUCGACCUCCCAGGUUCAAGUGAUCCUCCCACCUCAGCCUCCUGAGUAGCUGGAACUACAGGUACCUGCCACCACAUCUGGCUAAUAUUGGUAUUUUUUGUAGAGAUAGGGUUUUGCCCUGUUGCCCAGGCUGGUCUUGAACUCCUGACCUUAAGCUAUACUCCCACCUCAGCCUCCCAAAGUGCUGUGAUUACAGGUAUGAGCCACUGCACCUGUCCCUAAAGAAAUGAGGAAGAGCCAGGAGAUAGGAGGGGAGGCAGAGGAAUCAGCAAAUGCAAAAUGCUGAGGUAGGGUCAUGUUUGAGGCAUUUGCAGAUCAGUAAGGGGGCCAGAGGCUGGGUCACAGGGACUGAGGGGGAGAAGGGGAAAGGAGGAGGGGUAGGAGGGUAAGGAAUGUAGGCAGCUUGCCAGAUUUAAUUGGUUCUUUUUUUUUUUUUUCUUUUUUUUUUUUGAGACAGAGUCUCGCUCUAUCACCCAGGCUGGAGUGCAGUGGAGCAAUCUCAGCUCACUGCAAGCUCCACCUCCCGGGUUCAUGCCAUUCUCCUGCCUCAGCCUCCUGAGUAGCUGGGACUACAGGCACCCGCCACUACAUCCAGCUAAUUUUUUGUAUUUUUUAGUAGAGAUGGGGUUUCACCAUGUUAGCCAGGAUGGUCUCAAUCUCCUGACCUCGUGAUCCACCUGCCUCGGCCUCCCAAAGUGCUGAGAUUACAGGCGUGAGCCACCGCGCCCGGCCUUUAAUUGGUUCUUAAGGAGACUCCCUUUGAGUGAGACGGGAAUUUCUUGUAGGGUUUUAAGCAGAGGAGUGCCUUGAUUUAACUGACGUUUUAAUAGGAUCCCUCUGACUGCAGUAUGGAAAACAGACUGCAGGGGGGCUGGGAGGCCAGCUGCCAGCCAUUGCAACAAUCCAGGGCCCUCCCUGAUGCCACUGUCUGGGCUGCAGUGCACAUCCUGGUGUAUCCUACCUUCUGCCAAGUUGCCUUGAAACUGAGGUGGCUCGUUCACAUCUGUUACCUGGACAGUCAGGACUUG